ACAUACGACCAUAGGGUGUGGAAAAUAGGGCUUCCCGUCCGCUCAGCCGUACUCAAGCCACACGCCGGUGAGUUAGUAGUUGGGUGGGUGACCACCAGCGAAUCCUCACUGUUGUAUGU
rnacentral:rRNA from 1 species